AAAAGCUGUUGUGUCUUUCUUCAUAUAUCAAGAUUUCAAUUUACUGGUGAUAUUAUUAACUUUGAUCACUGGGUUGAGAUGUUGACCCAGUUCAUGCACUUUAAAGUGACUUUUUAAAAAAUCAGGAGCCUAUUCUUGUAUAUAAAUAUUUCUGUUACCAAGAAUUAACCAAUCAGAGACAACCUUAUUAUGCGAUGUGACCAAUUGAGUGUUCAGGAUAACAUGGGAAAGGUGAUGGAAAGGAAUAAAAAAGAUGCCUUACACAGAAGGAAUGGCUUCAUUAUGCCAUUGAAGCAAGAAUGAGUCUAGUUUGUGUGAGUAUGCUCCAUAAGGAUAAAGACUUUGUUUCUUAUUUGCUGCUAUGUCCCCAACGCCUUAAACAUUGCCUAUUACUACAUAUGUAGACACUCAGUAAUUAUAUUCUAAAUGAAUUUGCACUAUGAAUAAAACCAGGCCUUUUGGAACAAAUGUUACCUGUUAUAACUAAGUAGAUAAAUAUCAAAUUUCCGUGAGCCCAGAAAACUUGGCAGAAGAUUUGGACUUUCUGCCUUCCUUUAUUCAUUUAUUUCAUAAUAAUUCAUUGUGUCUACUAUGUGUCAGAUGUUGAGGAUACUUUAGUGAAAAAGAGCAGACAUGGCCCCUACCCUCAUGAAUUUUAGUGUCUAGUGACAGACAUUAUUUAAUUAAGACAGUCAUUAAUUUAUCAUAACAAACAGGUGAAUAAUACUAUAAAGGGAAAGUACUUUGUCCUGAAAUCAUAUAAAAUCUAUAAUAAUAAAAGUGUAAUAUGCUAAUUAGA